GACGAACGCUGGCGGCGUGCUUAACACAUGCAAGUCGAGCGGUAAGGCCCUUUCGGGGGUACACGAGCGGCGAACGGGUGAGUAACACGUGGGUGACCUGCCCUCAGCUCUGGGAUAAGCCUGGGAAACCGGGUCUAAUACCGGAUAUGACUCCAUGACGCAUGUUGUGGGGUGGAAAGCCUUGUGCGGCUGAGGAUGGGCCCGCGGCCUAUCAGCUUGUUGGUGGGGUGANGGCCUACCAAGGCGACGACGGGUAGCCGGCCUGAGAGGGCGACCGGCCACACUGGGACUGAGACACGGCCCAGACUCCUACGGGAGGCAGCAGUGGGGAAUCUUGCGCAAUGGGCGAAAGCCUGACGCAGCGACGCCGCGUGGGGAUGAAGGUCUUCGGAUU
rnacentral:rRNA from 1 species